AACGCGAAGAACCUUACCUGGGCUUGAACUGCUAUGGACCGGUGCAGAGAUGCGCCUUUCCGCAAGGACUGUAGCAGAGGUGCUGCAUGGCUGUCGUCAGCUCGUGUCGUGAGAUGUUGGGUUAAGUCCCGCAACGAGCGCAACCCUUACCUCUAGUUGCCAGCGGUCCGGCCGGGAACUCUAGAGGGACUGCCCGGGUUAACCGGGAGGAAGGUGGGGAUGAUGUCAAGUCCUCAUGGCCCUUAUGUCCAGGGCUACACACGUGCUACAAUGGGCGAUACAAACCGUUGCAAAGUCGCGAGAUGGAGCUAAUCGGAGAAAAGUCGUCCUCAGUUCGGAUUGCAGUCUGCAACUCGACUGCAUGAAGGUGGAAUCGCUAGUAAUCGUGUAUCAGAAUGAUACGGUGAAUACGUUCCCGGGCCUUGUACACACCGAUACUC
rnacentral:rRNA from 1 species